CUCUGUUCUCUUUGUGACUUGAUGGGAGAUGGCAUUUGGAAAACAAGUGCAGAACCACAAGUUAGAAAAUAGAAGACAUGGCUGAAAGAUUGCAGCUGGGUGGCUUGAACCUAUGGCAGAUUCAACCAGCAGCCAUCACAAGCAGAUGUCCUGUUGUGGAG
rnacentral:lncRNA from 1 species